rnacentral:rRNA from 1 species
GAUGAACGCUGGCGGCGUGCCUAAUACAUGCAGGUCGAGCGAACAGACGAGGAGCUUGCUCCUCUGACGUUAGCGGCGGACGGGUGAGUAACACGUGGAUAACCUACCUAUAAGACUGGGAUAACUUCGGGAAACCGGAGCUAAUACCGGAUAAUAUAUUGAACCGCAUGGUUCAAUAGUGAAAGACGGUUUUGCUGUCACUUAUAGAUGGAUCCGCGCCGCAUUAGCCAGUUGGUAAGGUAACGGCUUACCAAGGCAACGAUGCGUAGCCGACCUGAGAGGGUGAUCGGCCACACUGGAACUGAGACACGGUCCAGACUCCUACGGGAGGCAGCAGUAGGGAAUCUUCCGCAAUGGGCGAAAGCCUGACGGAGCAACGCCGCGUGAGUGAUGAAGGUCUUCGGAUCGUAAAACUCUGUUAUUAGGGAAGAACAAAUGUGUAAGUAACUAUGCACGUCUUGACGGUACCUAAUCAGAAAGCCACGGCUAACUACGUG